rnacentral:rRNA from 1 species
ACGUAGGGAGCGAGCGUUGUCCGGAUUUACUGGGUGUAAAGGGUGCGUAGGCGGCUAUGCAAGUCAGGCGUGAAAGCCAUGGGCUUAACCCAUGAACUGCGCUUGAAACUGUGUAGCUUGAGUGAAGUAGAGGCAGGCGGAAUUCCCGGUGUAGCGGUGAAAUGCGUAGAGAUCGGGAGGAACACCAGUGGCGAAGGCGGCCUGCUGGGCUUUAACUGACGCUGAGGCACGAAAGCAUGGGUAGCAAACAG